rnacentral:rRNA from 1 species
UACGUAGGGGGCAAGCGUUGUCCGGUAUCAUUGGGCGUAAAGAGCGUGUAGGCGGUUCGGUAAGUCGGCUGUGAAAGUCCAGGGCUCAACCCUGGGAUGCCGGUCGAUACUGCCGGACUAGAGUUCGGAAGAGGCGAGUGGAAUUCCCGGUGUAGCGGUGAAAUGCGCAGAUAUCGGGAGGAACACCUAUGGCGAAGGCAGCUCGCUGGGACGUUACUGACGCUGAGACGCGAAAGCGUGGGGAGCAAACAGG